GUCCACGCCGUAAACGAUGUCGAUUUGGAGGCUGUGUCCUUGAGACGUGGCUUCCGGAGCUAACGCGUUAAAUCGACCGCCUGGGGAGUACGGCCGCAAGGUUAAAACUCAAAUGAAUUGACGGGGGCCCGCACAAGCGGUGGAGCAUGUGGUUUAAUUCGAUGCAACGCGAAGAACCUUACCUGGCCUUGACAUGUCUGGAAUCCUGUAGAGAUACGGGAGUGCCUUCGGGAAUAAGAACACAGGUGCUGCAUGGCUGUCGU
rnacentral:rRNA from 1 species